CUGUAGGCCGUGACAUAGGCAAAUCCGUGUCACAUUAAGGCUGAGACUUGAUGCAUACCCGUUGUGGGGAAUUCAGUGAUCCUAUGCUGCCGAGAAAAGCCUCUAGUGAGUUCAUACACGGCCCGUACCCCAAACCGACACAGGUGAUCAGGUAGAGAAUACCAAGGCGAUCGAGAGAACUGUGGUUAAGGAACUCGGCAAAAUGCCCCCGUAACUUCGGGAGAAGGGGGACCAUGCCCGGUGAACAUCUUCACGGUGGGAGCUGGGUGUGGUCGCAGAGACCAGAGAGAAGCGACUGUUUACUAAAAACACAGGUCCGUGCGAAGACGUAAGUCGAUGUAUACGGACUGACGCCUGCCCGGUGCUGGAAGGUUAAGAGGACCGGUUAGCCGUAAGGCGAAGCUGAGAAUUUAAGCCCCAGUAAACGGCGGUGGUAACUAUAACCAUCCUAAGGUAGCGAAAUUCCUUGUCGGGUAAGUUCCGACCUGCACGAAUGGCGUAACGACUUCUCUGCUGUCUCGACCACAGACUCGGCGAAAUUGCACUACGAGUAAAGAUGCUCGUUACGCGCGGCAGGACGAAAAGACCCCGGGACCUUUACUAUAGCUUGGUAUUGGCGUUCGAUUCGGUUUGUGUAGGAUAGGUGGGAGACUGUGAAGCAUGCACGCCAGUGUGUGUGGAGUCGUUGUUGAAAUACCUCUCUGAUCGUAUUGGACGUCUAACCUCGGCCAUGAUCUGGGUUAGGGACAGUGCCUGGUGGGUAGUUUAACUGGGGCGGUUGCCUCCUAAAGAGUAACGGAGGCGCCCAAAGGUUCCCUCAGCCUGGAUGGCAAUCAGGUGUUGAGUGCAAGUGCACAAGGGAGCUUGACUGUGAGACUGACACGUCGAGCAGGGACGAAAGUCGGGACUAGUGAUCCGGCACCGGCAAGUGGAAGCGGUGUCGCUCAACGGAUAAAAGGUACCCCGGGGAUAACAGGCUGAUCUUCCCCAAGAGUCCAUAUCGACGGGGUGGUUUGGCACCUCGAUGUCGGCUCGUCGCAUCCUGGGGCUGGAGUAGGUCCCAGGGGUUGGGCUGUUCGCCCAUUAAAGCGGCACGCGAGCUGGGUUUAGAACGUCGUGAGACAGUUCGGUCUCUAUCCGCCGCGCGCGUAAGAAACUUGAGGAAGGCUGUCCCUAGUACGAGAGGACCGGGACGGACGAACCUCUGGUGUGCCAGUUGUUCCACCAGGAGCAUGGCUGGUUAGCUACGUUCGGAAGGGAUAACCGCUGAAAGCAUCUAAGCGGGAAGCCUGUUCCAAGAUGAGGUUUCUCACCACCUUGCGUGGUUAAGGCCCCCUACAGACCAUGGGGUUGAUAGGCCGGAACUGGAAGCGCAGCAAUGCGUGGAGGUGACCGGUACUAAUAGGCCGAGGGCUU
rnacentral:rRNA from 1 species